CACGUUCUAUCACAACAAGUCAACAACAGUUUUCUCUCACCCACGGUUCUCUCCCCGUAGCAAUUUGAUAUCUCUCUCAGACGCUGUUUCGAAUUGAAGCACAAUAAAUGUUUAAUGGAAGAAGAAGCACAGAUACAGAGCAUGAGACCAGAUCUAAGAGCGACAAUAUGGAAGACACAUAUGGGGAUGAUCAAGAUGCCACAUUGCCGAGGAAGAAGAGAUCUAUCGGCUUCCAGCAAUAAAAUGAGGGGAAAGUUCGAACUCGCAUUAAGGAUUGUAAAGUUGAUGACAAAAGAUGGAGAAAUUUUGAGGCGUGGAGUAUCUUCAAGAAAUUGAAAGAGGUAAUUAUUGCCUCGCAUCUCUUUUAUUUACAUUUAUUGAAUAUUCUUCAUUAUAUACUUUGGCAUUAAACAAUUGAAAUUAACAAGGAUGAAGGUGGUAUAAUCAUGGAUCUAUUUUCCCUUUUCUUUUCCUCUUUUCUAAACAAAUAGAGUGCCAGUAGUGUUGCCGAUAGGAGCGGUGUGAUCUUCUUUAUUUGAAACAAAAUUGGGAAUGUUGCUUUGUUAUUAAAACUCCUCUAUUUAAGCCUCUACAAGUUCUGUAAUGUAUGGUUUCAUUAUCAAUUCAUGUGGAUUAUAUUUUGGAUACUAACAUUGAGAAACAUGUCUAGAAUAAUUUUUUGGAAUAAUGCAUGUAUUUUAGAAUAGAUGAGUAUAUGUUAUGAUAUUAUUGGAAUGUGGUUAAAAUAUGAACUGUUUUACAUAUAUUUUGUCAUCAUUUACAUUUCUUCUCGAAUUUGAUUUAUGAUACUUACUAUUUUUCUUAUUUCCCAUAUAGGAACAAAAUAGAAAUGGAAUGAAAAAAAAGUGGUAAAAGUUUAUUUAUCUUGAACAAUAAGUUUAGAUUUUAUGGAGACUGCAUCCUCUGAAUGUUUGUAAAAUGAUGGAUAUAAUCGAGAACUAAUUGUUCGACUUGACCAAUUUUAUAAUUUCUGUAGAUUUAACACAUGAACACGCUGAUGUUGUUCUUAGUUUUGAUGAUAUACGUGUUGUGCAAUUUUUUUUAGUCCAACAAAUGACAUUAACCUGACUCCCAUCUAUCUUACUCAAGAUUUAAUGGAAAGGUAUAUUGCAUUUUGAAAGAGUUACCUAUACUAACAGUGAUAGAAAUUGUGAUACUUUUCUCUGCGGCUCUGCCAUAACUUGAUCAUCAAUCUUAAUAUUGACGUGUUGAUUCUAACUAAAA